rnacentral:rRNA from 1 species
AACGAACGCUGGCGGCAUGCCUAAUACAUGCAAGUCGAGGGGCAGCACGGUUAGCAAUAACUGGUGGCGACCGGCGCACGGGUGCGUAACACGUAUACAAUCUACCUUAAACAGGGGGAUAGCCUUUCGAAAGAGAGAUUAAUACCCGUAAUAAAUUGAACGGCAUCGUUUGAUUUUGAAAGCUCCGGCGGUUUGAGAUGAGUAUGCGUCUGAUUAGCUAGUUGGUGAGGUAACGGCUCGCCAAGGCGACGAUCAGUAGGGGAUCUGAGAGGACUAACCCCCACACUGGUACUGAGACACGGACCAGACUCCUACGGGAGGCAGCAGUAAGGAAUAUUGGUCAAUGGAGGCAACUCUGAACCAGCCAUGCCGCGUGCAGGAUGACGGCCCUAUGGGUUGUAAACUGCUUUUAUACAAGAGAAAACCCUGGUACGUGUACCAGGUUGAUAGUAUUGUAAGAAUAAGCAUCGGCUAACUUCGUGCCAGCAGCCGCGGUAAU